rnacentral:misc_RNA from 1 species
AAAAAAAAAAAAAAAGAGAGAUGAAUUUGCAUUCAUUCCUAUACUGUCAUUCCCAUAAUAAGAGGAUAUCAAUUGUUAUAGUUAUUGUUAUUGAAAAGGUGUGAACAAGAAAGUUGGAACUAGAAAAGAGCUUGUUUUGUAUUGUGAUGAAUUCUAAUUGGCACUUUUUUAUAUUGUGAAUUCAAGAGUUUUGGAUGCUCAACUAGUGUCUUUGGUUCUUUAACUUACAUAUCCUUUGUUCCAUACCAUGCCCCUGUUAGUAGUAUGCCCUAGAGCA